AGUGGGGGAUAACGUAGCGAAAGGUACGCUAAUACCGCAUAUGCCCUGAGGGGGAAAGGGGGGGAUCGCAAGACCUCUCGCUUUCGGAGUGGCCGAUAUCGGAUUAGCUAGUAGGUGAGGUAAAGGCUCACCAAGGCGACGAUCCGUAGCUGGUCUGAGAGGACGACCAGCCACACUGGGACUGAGACACGGCCCAGACUCCUACGGGAGGCAGCAGUGGGGAAUUUUGGACAAUGGGCGAAAGCCUGAUCCAGCCAUGCCGCGUGAGUGAAGAAGGCCUUCGGGUUGUAAAGCUCUUUCGGACGGAAAGAAAUCGCACUGAUUAAUACUCAGUGUGGAUGACGGUACCGUAAGAAGAAGCACCGGCUAACUACGUGCCAGCAGCCGCGGUAAUACGUAGGGUGCGAGCGUUAAUCGGAAUUACUGGGCGUAAAGCGUGCGCAGGCGGUUUUGUAAGACAGAUGUGAAAUCCCCGGGCUUAACCUGGGAACUGCAUUUGUGACUGCAAGGCUAGAGUGUGGCAGAGGGGGGUAGAAUUCCA
rnacentral:rRNA from 1 species